UAGGGAAUCUUCGGCAAUGGACGAAAGUCUGACCGAGCAACGCCGCGUGAGUGAAGAAGGUUUUCGGAUCGUAAAACUCUGUUGUUAGAGAAGAACAAGGACGUUAGUAACUGAACGUCCCCUGACGGUAUCUAACCAGAAAGCCACGGCUAACUACGUGCCAGCAGCCGCGGUAAUACGUAGGUGGCAAGCGUUGUCCGGAUUUAUUGGGCGUAAAGCGAGCGCAGGCGGUUUCUUAAGUCUGAUGUGAAAGCCCCCGGCUCAACCGGGGAGGGUCAUUUGAAACUGGGAGACUUGAGUGCAGAAGAGGAGAGUGGAAUUCCAUGUGUGGCGGUGAAAUGCGUAGAUAUAUGGAGGAACACCAGUGGCGAAGGCGGCGCUCUGGUCUGUAACUGACGCUGAGGCUCGAAAGCGUGGGGAGCAAACAGG
rnacentral:rRNA from 1 species